GAUGAACGCUGGCGGCGUGCCUAAUACAUGCAAGUCGAGCGAACAGACGAGGAGCUUGCUCCUCUGACGUUAGCGGCGGACGGGUGAGUAACACGUGGGUAACCUACCUAUAAGACUGGGAUAACUUCGGGAAACCGGAGCUAAUACCGGAUAAUAUAUUGAACCGUAUGGUUCAAUAGUGACAGACGGUUUUGCUGUCACUUAUAGAUGGAUCCGCGCCGCAUUAGCUAGUUGGUAAGGUAACGGCUUUACAAGGCAACGAUGCGUAGCCGACCUGAGAGGGUGACUGGCCAGACGGGAACUGAGACACGGUCCAGACUCCGACGGUAGGAAGCAGUAGGGAAUCUUCCGCAAUGGGGGAAAGCGGGACGGUGCAACGCCGCGUGAGUGAUGAUGGUCUUCGGAUCGGAAAACGCUGUUAUUAGGGAAGAACAAAUGUGUAAGUAACUAUGAACGACUUGACGGUACCUAAUCAGAAAGCCACGGCUAACUACGUG
rnacentral:rRNA from 1 species